UACAGAGGUCCCAAGCGUUGUUCGGAUUCACUGGGCGUAAAGGGUGCGUAGGCGGUCGGGUAAGUCUGAUGUGAAAUCUCACAGCUUAACUGUGAAACUGCAUUGGAUACUAUCCGGCUCGAGGAAUGGAGGGGAGACUGGAAUACUUGGUGUAGCAGUGAAAUGCGUAGAUAUCAAGUGGAACACCAGUGGCGAAGGCGAGUCUCUGGGCCGAUACUGACACUGAGGAGCGAAAGCGUGGGGAGCGAACAGG
rnacentral:rRNA from 1 species